UGCCAGCAGCCGCGGUAAUACGGAGGGUGCAAGCGUUAAUCGGAAUUACUGGGCGUAAAGCGCGCGUAGGCGGUUAUUUAAGUCGGAUGUGAAAGCCCUGGGCUCAACCUGGGAACUGCAUUCGAUACUGGGUAACUAGAGUACGAGAGAGGGAGGUAGAAUUCCACGUGUAGCGGUGAAAUGCGUAGAGAUGUGGAGGAAUACCAGUGGCGAAGGCGGCCCCCUGGAUCGAUACUGACGCUGAGGCGCGAAAGCGUGGGGAGCAAACAGGAUUAGAUA
rnacentral:rRNA from 1 species